rnacentral:lncRNA from 1 species
AUUUUCCAUAACAGAACAUGUAAUUUCACUACAAACAAGUUGCAAUGAAAAUGUUAGAAAUAGAAAUAUUUUAUUCCGUGCUCUUUUGCAGAUUUUCUUUUCUGAUGUAAUUGAAAAGCACUCAUGAUACAGAAUUUGGUCUGCAUAUCUGCAAGAAGAAUUUUUAAAUCAGCUGGCUUUCUGGGAUACCUUAGGAGGAAUGCUGCUGAAAUUGGAUUGAGCAACCUGGUCUGAAAUAAAUUUGGCUCCUCACUCUGAAUGGCAGGUUGCGCCAGAGGAUAUCCUGAAAUCCCUUCCAACCUGAAUUAUUCUACCAUUCUGUAUUAUACUGAUGAGAGACCAGAACAGGGCCCAGCUAACCAAGGAUGUAUUUGAAAUUUCAGGUGUACUGGAAAUGUAAACAGCUGACACAAUACAAGAAGUAAAAUUGUACCUUCUAGCAAUAACUGACUUGAAUAAAGUCUCCUACUUUUCUAAGAAAACAAAAGAGAUACAGAUGGAAGUGAAUUAGGAAGAAAAAAAAUCUACUGUUGUGAUGCUUUAAUCUAUUUUAAUAUGUGAGCCUGAAAUUCCUCCUAAAACAAAGUCCCUGAACUUUUAUUAUUAAAAGUAAUAAAAAUUCAAGGACUUUGUUUUAGGAGGAAAUAGAUGCUAGCAGGUAUUUUCUAAGGGUUGAGAUGACACUGGCCUGAAGAAUGACAGCAGGACAGUCAGCUCUGGAGUGUUGCAUCAGUGAUUCUACACACGCCAGCCUAAGCCAGAGCUGCUGAAAUGUGUUCUCAUGACUGGGAAUCCAGCUGCUCUCUCUAGGAUGCAGAUAAAAUACAUACCUGAAGGACAGCAUCCUGUGACAGUGGCCCACAUUCCAGCUGUUUGUGGGGAACUGCUGCCUGUAGGAUGGACUCACAUUGGAGAAGUUCAUGGAGAACUGACUCCCAUGGGAGGAACCCCACAGUGCAGUAGAGGAAGGACUCCUCUUCCUGAGCAGUGGCAGAAACAGCGUGUGAUGAACUGACCAUAACUCCCCAUGCCCUGCCUCCCUGCAUCUCUGAGGGGGAGGAGGUAGAAGGGGGAAGGAGGAAGAGGUAGGGGGAAGAUAUUUUUAAGAUUUAUUUUGCUCCUCAUUAUCCUGCUCUGAUUUUGUUAGUA